UCGCCGCCAAGCGGGUCCUGGGCCUCUCCUCGGCCACCGUCGCCGCUGCCGCAGCCGCCCUGGCGACCGCAGCUCGAGUCUUCACGUAGUUGGCCGCCGGAGACGGUGGUUCAGCGAUUCUACGGCCUACCUGAGCACGACCACGCCGCGGUCCACUACGAAGCUCCGGCAUUCUCCAAACCCAUGCAAUCGGUUUUCACGGCGCCGAUAACCUCGAUCGUCAUAUGCGUCACGAGAGAUCAGAGACGAGUUUCAUAGCUGAGAUUGCAAGUUUACGGAAGGGAUAUUGAAGAAACGAUGAUUCUGAUGGCUCUGUGUAUAAUAGGAGAAUUAGGGUUAGGGUUUGAAGGGUGAGGAAANAAAAUUUUGGAAUACAAAAAAUGGAAUGAUAUUUUUGUGAAAUGAAAUGAAAUCUUAGAAUUAUAUUUUUUUUCCUGGUGGACCUCACCCACUUUGUUUUUGU
rnacentral:lncRNA from 1 species